AAAAAAAUUCCGAAUGGGUUCUAUCUGCACAAGAAACAAAACUUCAGAUCUGGGAAACUUCAAUGCUAAGCUGCAACAAGAUAAGCAACAAAUCAAUUAGUGCAACGAUAAACCACAACAGCAAUAACUACUGCAAAUUCCACAUGAUAUUAGAUGUACAAGUACUAAAAAAAUGAAAAGAAUUUGGCUGUUUAAGGGAAGAAGAGAAACAGAGGACUGGAAGAAUAUUUUAUAGAUACAGAAGUUUAUUUACAUUGACCAAAAGACUAAUGGCCUACAAUGCAAACCAAAGAAACACGUAGGUAAAGCCACAAAUUAUGUAUGAAUCUGCAUAGGGCAUUUGCAACGAAUAGCCUACAAAUAAUGAGAAGGAACAUCUUAAUGAAUCUAAUAAUUUCAAGCGAAAUAGAUCAACUGGGCUAAAAACUGGCACCUUGACAGCAUCAUUGCUCUGCCUCUAUGGGAACUUUACAGAACAAAUACUUUGCUUCUUUGGCCUGAACAAGACCAUCACUGAGGAGCACAUCAGUGUCACAUCAUCCCAAAUUCAUUUAACAGUCAAAUAUCAGUAGGAUUUUAUUUCUUUUGCUACAUUAUAGUGCUAAAUGGAAAGUAUAAACUGUUUCAUUAAUCUCCUGAGACAAAUUUGUUCCGGCAUAUACACUCACAAGCCACAUCCAACAUAAUUAAAUGAACAGGAAGAAACACUUCUGUUAUACCAUGGUUCACAGAUUGCCAAAGCUGUCA
rnacentral:misc_RNA from 1 species